rnacentral:rRNA from 1 species
UACGUAGGGUGCAGGCGUUAAUCGGAAUUACUGGGCGUAAAGCGUGCGCAGGCGGUCUUUUAAGUCAGAUGUGAAAUCCCCGGGCUUAACCUGGGAACUGCGUUUGAAACUGGAAGGCUAGAGUGUGGCAGAGGGGGGUGGAAUUCCACGUGUAGCAGGUGAAAUGCGUAGAGAUGUGGAGGAACACCGAUGGCGAAGGCAGCCCCCUGGGCUAACACUGACGCUCAUGCACGAAAGCGUGGGGAGCAAACAGG